rnacentral:rRNA from 1 species
AUUGAACGCUGGCGGUAUGCUUAACACAUGCAAGUCGAACGGUAGCAGCAUCUAGCUUGCUAGAUGGCUGACGAGUGGCGGACGGGUGAGUAACGCGUAGGGAUCUGUCUAGGUGAGCGGGACAACACGGGGAAACUCGUGCUAAUACCGCAUACGUUCUACGGAAGAAAGGGUGGUAGCAAUACCAUUCGCACUUAGGUGAACCUGCGUUGGAUUAGCUUGUUGGUGGGGUAAGGCCUACCAAGGCGACGAUCCAUAGCUGUUCUGAGAGGAGAUCAGCCACACUGGGACUGAGACACGGCCCAGACUCCUACGGGAGGCAGCAGUAGGGAAUCUUCCGCAAUGGACGAAAGUCUGACGGAGCAACGCCGCGUGAGUGAUGAAGGCUUUCGGGUCGUAAACUCUGUUGUUAGGGAAGAACAAGUGCUAGUUGAUAAGCUGGACCUUGAGGUACCUAACCAGAAAGCCA